UUCAGUAAGGUAAUGAUGAAACAUUGUCAUUGAAAAACAACUUUUAUUUAUUUUUAAUUAGGUACUUUAAAUUUUCAAUUAGUGUUACAUACCAGUCUGGAGGCUUGUAAUUUAUGAACGUUUCCAUAAAAUCUAUUAAUUACCCUGCCUUGUUUUUUCAAACGUUCUCCACUUCUCAAUAUUUCUUCUGAAAUGUGCGAUUGUGACAUGGCUGGUGAAGUAACUCAACUUCAAGCGCAUCUAUUGUCCAGUCCAUGGGAUAAAUAAAAUUAAGCAGCUGUCCGUUGUGAAUAGUCGAUUAUCAUUUGGGGUUGUAGAAUUCAGUUUGCAGUGUGUAGAAAAAAUACCUAUUGUUCUGAAUUGAAAUGGGUAUGUUUUCCUCAGUCAUCUCGUUGUUAACAGCUGUACUGUACUUGAGCAAUUACAUCACUUAUGCAUAUGUUCCUGUUCAUCACUUUAUAACCAAAGGAAAGGUUGUAAAUGUAUUUUAUAUGGAUAGAAACGAAGGUACCAAAAUUGGCAAUAUGGUGAAAUGUUUUAUAUCUGUUGUAUGGGAUAGUUUUGAUACUUGGAAUGAGAAUCCUGCGAACCAUAAUUAUAAAUAUCACGACAGUUACCGCUGGCAUGCUUGUGAGUUUGCAGAGAGAGCAUUUCAUAAUAACAAAAAAAUCAUAAUGUAUGGGCUGAGAGCUGAUAACCAGAGUACACACCAUGACUAUGUGGCUGGUAUAGAGUGGUAUCAUGAAAGUGGUAGGUUUCCUUGAGUUGGUUGUCUAUGUAUGUACAUGUUUAUUUUAAAAGAGCCAAAAGAGGACUUUGUGAAUUGAAAUUUGUACUAAUAAUGAUGUAUGUUAGUUGUGAUUUACUAUCAAACUUUGUCUAUAUGCUUAGGUAAGUACAUGAAAUAAUUAUGUAAGUAGAUGAAAUUUAUAUGAAAACAAAAAACUAAUUAUUUGAUGUUGCAUUUGUGAAGUUUUUUAUUAUUGGGUACUUUUGUUUUUAGAUGUGUAGAUACUUAUUUACAUAAGUAGGUAUUUCAAGCGUCAACUUCAAAAAAUAUGAUUAAAUUAAUAUGUGAUAUUUGAUUAGGAAAUUCAUAUGUAUAAAACCAUGAAAGUAAUUAUGUACCAUCAUUUCAACA